rnacentral:rRNA from 1 species
AGCGAACGCUGGCGGCAGGCCUAACACAUGCAAGUCGAACGAAGCCUUCGGGCUUAGUGGCGGACGGGUGAGUAACACGUGGGAACGUACCUUUUGGUUCGGAACAACUCAGGGAAACUUGAGCUAAUACCGGAUGAGCCCUUAGGGGGAAAGAUUUAUCGCCGAAAGAGCGGCCCGCGUUAGAUUAGCUAGUUGGUGAGGUAAAGGCUCACCAAGGCAACGAUCUAUAGCUGGUCUGAGAGGAUGAUCAGCCACACUGGGACUGAGACACGGCCCAGACUCCUACGGGAGGCACCAGUGGGGAAUCUGGCGCAAUGGGCGAAAGCCUGAGGCAGCCAUGCCGCGUGAAUGAUGAAGGUCUUAGGAUUGUAAAAUUCUUUUACCAGGGACGAUAAUGACGGUACCUGGAGAAAAAGCCCCGGCUAACUUCGUGCCAGCCGCCGCCGUAACAC